rnacentral:rRNA from 1 species
AGUGAACGCUGGCGGUAGGCCUAACACAUGCAAGUCGAACGGCAGCACAGGAGAGCUUGCUCUCUGGGUGGCGAGUGGCGGACGGGUGAGGAAUACAUCGGAAUCUGCCCAGUCGUGGGGGAUAACGUAGGGAAACUUACGCUAAUACCGCAUACGACCUUCGGGUGAAAGAGGGGGAUCGCAAGACCUCUCGCGAUUAGAUGAGCCGAUGUCGGAUUAGCUAGUUGGCGGGGUAAUGGCCCACCAAGGCGACGAUCCGUAGCUGGUCUGAGAGGAUGAUCAGCCACACUGGAACUGAGACACGGUCCAGACUCCUACGGGAGGCAGCAGUGGGGAAUAUUGGACAAUGGGCGCAAGCCUGAUCCAGCCAUACCGCGUGGGUGAAGAAGGCCUUCGGGUUGUAAAGCCCUUUUGUUGGGAAAGAAAUCUUUCAGGCUAAUACCCUGGGAGGAUGACGGUACCCAAAGAAUAAGCACCGGCUAACUUCGUG